rnacentral:rRNA from 1 species
GGUCCGGCUAAUUACGUGCCAGCAGCCGCGGUAAUACGUAAGGACCGAGCGUUGUCCGGAAUCAUUGGGCGUAAAGGGUACGUAGGCGGUAUGAUAAGUUAGGAGUAAAAGGCACCGGCUCAACCGGCGUAAGCUUUUAAAACUGUCAUACUUGAGACAUUGAGGGGAAAGUGGAAUUUCUAGUGUAGCGGUGAAAUGCGCAGAUAUUAGGAAGAACACCAGAGGCGAAGGCGGCUUUCUGGACUGCAACUGACACUGAGGCACGAAAGCGUGGGGAGCAAACAGGAUUAGAUACCCUGGUAGUCCACGCCGUAAACGAUGAGCACUAGGUAUCGGGGUCAGAAGACUUCGGUGCCGCCGUUAACGCAUUAAGUGCUCCGCCUGGGGAGUACGUACGCA